AUUUUUAUAUGUGUUUUGUUGUUGUAGUUUCUAUCU
rnacentral:guide_RNA from 1 species